GGCCCUUUAGCUCAGUUGGUUAGAACGUGCGACUCAUAAUCACCCGGUCGCUGGUUCAAGUACGGCAAGGGCCACCA
rnacentral:tRNA from 1 species